AAAUGGCAUUCAUUUUCUCUGGAAACGGCCACAGGACCUUAAUUCUAGCAACUCCCAAGGUUCACCCUAAUUUAUGGAAACCAAGGGAUGGCUUAGAGCUGAUGAACAAUGAUCUUCCCAGCACCAACCCUGAAGACUGUGUACAGUGUCCUGCUUUGAUUUGUCCAAGAAUGAUUCAUAUCUCAUAUCACCAACUGGAGGGAUGAUCUCCAUUUUUGACAUGACAACAUUUAAGAAAGUCAUGCCACCGCCACCUGCGGCAACAUGUCUUGCUUUUCACCCUCUAGAUGACAGUAUAGUUGCUAUUUGCAUGGACAAUUCCACCAUUGUAAUAUACAAUCUCCACUCAGACGAGGUAGUUUGUUUGUUCUUGUAGAAAAAAGCAAAUCAUGCUCGAUGUUGUGAUGAAGCAAACCCAAAAAGUUUUUCAUUGCCUUGAUUUAUAUAUUUUGCAAGUUACAAGGAAGCUUGAGGGUCACGCCAAAAAAGUCACUAGCCUUGCCUUCUCGAACACUCUGAAUGUACUAGUUUCUUCUGGUCUAAUGUGACUUCUGUUAUUUAAUGAUCGACGUCGUUUUGG